rnacentral:rRNA from 14 species
UGACGGCGUACCUUUUGUAUAAUGGGUCAGCGACUUACAUUCAGUGGCGAGGUUAACCGAAUAGGGAAGCCGUAGAGAAAUCGAGUCCGAAUAGGGCGAAUUAGUCGCUGGGUGUAGACCCGAAACCAAGUGAUCUAUCCAUGGCCAGGAUGAAGGUGCCGUAACAGGUACUGGAGGUCCGAACCGACUAGUGUUGCAAAACUAGCGGAUGAGCUGUGGAUAGGGGUGAAAGGCUAAACAAACUUGGAAAUAGCUGGUUCUCUCCGAAA